rnacentral:rRNA from 1 species
GAUGAACGCUAGCUACAGGCUUAACACAUGCAAGUCGAGGGGCAUCAGGGAUUUAGCUUGCUAAAUUCGCUGGCGACCGGCGCACGGGUGCGUAACGCGUAUCCAACUUUCCCGUUACUCUCGGAUAGCCUUCCGAAAGGGGAGAUUAAUACGAGAUGGUGUUUUAAUUUCGCAUGUUAUUAAAACUAAAGAUUUAUCGGUAACGGAUAGGGAUGCGUGACAUUAGAUAGUUGGCGGGGUAACGGCCCACCAAGUCCACGAUGUCUAGGGGUUCUGAGAGGAAGGUCCCCCACACUGGAACUGAGACACGGUCCAGACUCCUACGGGAGGCAGCAGUGAGGAAUAUUGGGUCAAUGGCCGAGAGGCUGAACCAGCCAAGUAGCGUGAAGGNUGAAGGUUCUAUGGAUUGUAAACUUCUUUAUACGGGAAUAACAUCACCUACGUGUAGGUGCCUGCAUGUACCGUAUGAAUAAGCAUCGG